AUUGAACGCUGGCGGCACGCUUAACACAUGCAAGUCGAGCGGUAACAUGACUAGUAGCAAUACUAGUUGAUGACGAGCGGCGGACGGGUGAGUAACACGUAGGAACUUGCCCAGUAGUGGGGGACAACCAAGGGAAACUUUGGCUAAUACCGCAUAUUCUCGAGAGAGGAAAGCUGCCGCAAGGUGGCGCUAUUGGAGAGGCCUGCGUCCGAUUAGCUAGUUGGUAGGGUAAAAGCCUACCAAGGCGAGGAUCGGUAACUGGUCUGGGAGGACGACCAGUCACUCUGGGACUGAGACACGGCCCAGACUCGGACGGGAGGCAGCAGUGGGGAAUCUUGGACAAUGGGGGCAACCCUGAUCCAGCGAUGCCGCGUGAGUGAAGAAGGCCUUCGGGACGUAAAGCUCUUUAGGCUGGGAAGAAGGUUGGUAGUUUAAGAGAUAAUCAAUUUGACUGUACCAGCAGAAUAAGCACCGGCAAACUCUGUGCCAGCCGCCGCAGUAACAC
rnacentral:rRNA from 1 species